rnacentral:lncRNA from 1 species
GUUGAACCAGCGCCACAGCAGCAACCUGGGCUGCUGCAGUGACAACACAGGAUCUUUAACCCACUGCACCAGAGGAAACCCCUUAUUUGUGUGAUUUUGUGAUUCAUGUUCAUUUCUCCUACUGGACCAUAUUUGCCAUGAACAUAAGGCUGUGUCUUUUUUUCCUUUGCUAUUUUAUCUCUUGUAGGCACUUGAUAAAUAUUUGUUGAAUAGAAUAAUUGUAAAUAGACUGACCCCCCGGAACUGUGAUUAUGCCUGACUUUGGGAUUAGAAGAAUCUGAUAACUCUUUUUUCUGGAUUGCACUUCCUCAUCCUAAAGAAUGACAAAAAAUUUGCACUCCAUCUAGGCCUCUCACCCAGAGGGAACGGAUUUCUAUUCCAAAAAUACAGAGGCGUGAGCCUCAAGUCUGCAUCUUCUAAAACAAGCCAUUAAAGCAAACAAAGAAGUUGAUGUUCUAUAAGAUAUAUUUAAUCAGAUGGCUGCUGCCUGCACAUCCACAGAGCAACUCACGUUCAAAUGAAUUUCCGAAUAAGAUAAUGACAGGACUAAGCUUCCUGAUAUCUUGUUGGAGGAGAUCAUCAAGAGACCAUGACCACUGGUUGACCUGCACCUGGAUCUGGAUGAUCAGAGACUCCCCACCCACAUCUCAUCCUUGGAACCCACGUUCUACCCCCUGUCCCAUGGUGGGAGCCAUUUUCAAGGGCACGGCCUUGAGCGAGCAAUGUGUUGUUAGAGCCAUCUGGACAGUAUAUGGAACUGAUGGUUCACAUUAAGGCCUCUAUAUAGACUUUAUAUAAACUAUACAAACCUCUAUAUAAAGAUUACCACAGCCUUGUAAAUUAACUAUACUUCAAUAAGACUUACAAAAUUAAAAACAGGAAAAAAAAUGUUUGUUAGGACUUCCCAUUGCAGCUCAGCAGGUUAAGAACCUGACGCUGACGUAGUGUCCAUGAGGAUGCAGGUUUGAUCCUUUGCCGUGCCCAUUGAG